CCUACGGGUGGCAGCAGUGAGGAAUAUUGGUCAAUGGACGAGAGUCUGAACCAGCCAAGUAGCGUGAAGGAUGACUGCCCUAUGGGUUGUAAACUUCUUUUAUAUGGGAAUAAAAUGUUCCACGUGUGGGAUUUUGUAUGUACCAUAUGAAUAAGGAUCGGCUAACUCCGUGCCAGCAGCCGCGGUAAUACGGAGGAUCCGAGCGUUAUCCGGAUUUAUUGGGUUUAAAGGGAGCGUAGGUGGAUUGUUAAGUCAGUUGUGAAAGUUUGCGGCUCAACCGUAAAAUUGCAGUUGAAACUGGCAGUCUUGAGUACAGUAGAGGUGGGCGGAAUUCGUGGUGUAGCGGUGAAAUGCUUAGAUAUCACGAAGAACUCCGAUUGCGAAGGCAGUUCACUGGACUGCAACUGACACUGAGGCUCGAAAGUGUGGGUAUCAAACAGGAUUAGAUACCCGAGUAGC
rnacentral:rRNA from 1 species